rnacentral:rRNA from 1 species
GACGAACGCUGGCGGCGCGCUUAACACAUGCAAGUCGAGCGAAGCGGCGGACGGGUGAGUAACACGUGAGUAACCUGCCUUAGACAUUGGGAUAGCCUCGGGAAACCGGGAUUAAUACCAAAUAGUCUAAGAUGGACUCGCGUCCCAUUAGCUAGUUGGUGAGGUAACGGCCUACCAAGGCAAUGAUGCAUAGCCGACCUGAGAGGUGAAUCGGCCACAUGGGGACUGAUACACGACCCAAACUCCUACGGGAGGCGGCAGUAGGGAGUCGUCCGCAAUGGGCGGAAGCCUGACGGAGCAACGCCGCGUGAGUGAAGAAGGUUUUCGGAUCGUAAAGCUCUGUUAAUCGGGACGCGGUACCGGAAUAGAAAGCCACGGCUAACUACGUGCCAGCAGCCGCGGUAAUAC